UACGGAGGGUGCAAACGUUGCUCGGAAUUAUUGGGCGUAAAGCGCACGUAGGCGGUCCAGCAAGUCGGGUGUGAAAGCCCCCGGCUCAACUGGGGAGGGUCACGCGAUACUGAUCGACUCGAAGGCAGGAGAGGGAAGUGGAAUUCCCGGUGUAGUGGUGAAAUGCGUAGAUAUCGGGAGGAACACCAGUGGCGAAGGCGACUUCCUGGCCUGUUCUUGACGCUGAGGCGCGAAAGCUAGGGGAGCAAACGGG
rnacentral:rRNA from 1 species